UUAAGUAACUUAAAUAUUAAGAAGAAUCUAAUACCUCAAAAACUCAAAAGGUUCCUAUGAAAGGAUAAACCGCAUAGGGUUAGUCGGGGCCUAAGAUAAGAAAUUUAUUGUAAUUGAUGGGAAUCAAGUUAAUAUUCUUGAACCAUAUUUAUAUAGUAUACAAGUAGUGACCUAAAUAUAAAUUCUAAGUAAUAUAAUAAAUGAUUUUUACUUAGAAAUAAAAUUUUUGCUAGAAAAAUGAUAUUGUAUAAUUAUAGAUAUGCCCGUACUAAAACUGACACAAGUGAGUAGGUACUAUAACGUACUAAGAGGACGAAAUAAAUUUCUUUAAGGAACUCGGCAAAACAAUCCUGUAACUUCGGGAUAAAGGAUGCCUAUAAGGCUGCAAUUAAAAAGUUCAAGCGACUGUUUAUCAAAAACACAGGUAUCCGCAAAAUGUAAUUAUGAAGUAAGGAUACUGACACCUGCCCAGUGCUAGUAAGUUAAAAAAAAUUUUUAUGUUAUACAAAUAAUUUUUUUAUAAGCUCUAGUAAACGGCGGCUGUAACUAUAACGGUCCUAAGGUAGCGAAAUUCAUUGUCGGGUAAGUUCCGACCCGCACGAAAGGUGUAACGACUUGAACACUGUCUUUAAGAAAUAUUCGGUGAAAUAGAAAUGUUUGUAAAGAUACAGACUUUUUACAUCAGGACAGAAAGACCCUAUGAAGCUUUACUGCAAUUUGAAAUUGAAAUUAAAUUUUAUUUAUAUAGUGUAAGUGGGAAGUUUAUACUAUUAAUGAAACACCACUUUAAUAAAUUUUAAUUUCUAACUAUAAUUUUUUUAUCAUAUUAUAUAAAAAUUUCAAAAAGGUAGUUUGACUGGGGCGGUUGCCUCCUAAAGAGUAACGGAGGUGCACAAAGGUCUUUUAUUUUAAUAAAAAUAAAAUAUUAAAAUUAAUAAAUGUAAAGGUUAAAUAAUAAGAAGGCUUGAUUGUGAGAGUAACUACUUAAACAAGGACGAAAGUCGGUCUUAGUGAUCCGACAACUCUAAGUGGUAGGAUUGUCGCUUAACGGAUAAAAGUUACUCUAGGGAUAACAGGCUGAUCUCUCCCGAUAGUCCAUAUUGACGGGGAGGUUUGGCACCUCGAUGUCGGCUCGUCGCAUCCUGAGGCUGUAGCAGGUCUCAAGGGUUGGUCUGUUCGCCCAUUAAAGCGGCACGUGAGCUGGGUUCAGAACGUCGUGAGACAGUUCGGUCCGUAUCCGAUGUAAACGUAAGAAUAUUGUAAAGUAUUUCCUUUAGUACGAGAGGACCAAGGAGAUUAAACCUAUAGUAGUUCAGUUAUUUUAUCAUAAGUAUUACGCACUCGU
rnacentral:rRNA from 1 species